rnacentral:rRNA from 1 species
GACGAACGCUGGCGGCGUGCUUAACACAUGCAAGUCGAACGGAAAGGCCCUGCUUUUGUGGGGUGCUCGUGUGCCGAACGCGUGAGUAACACGCGAGUAACCUGCCCUUGACUUUGGGAUAACUUCACGAAACUGGGGCUAAUACCGGAUAGGAGCUCCUGCUGCAUGGUGGGGGUUGGAAAGUUUCGGCGGUUGGGGAUCGACUCGCGGCUUAUCAGCUUGUUGGUGGGGUAGUGGCUUACCAAGGUUUUGACGGGUAGCCGGCCUGAGAGGGUGACCGGCCACAUUGGGACUGAGGUACGGACCAGAAGCCUACGGGAGGCAGCAGUGGAGAGUAUUGCACAAUGGGCGGAAGCCUGAUGCAGCAACGCCGCGUGCGGGAUAACGGCCUUCGGGUGGUAAACAGCUUUCGCAUGUGACGAAGCGUGAGUGACGGUAAUGGGUAAAGAAGCACCGGCUAACUACGUG